AUAUGGUUUAUUUGUAAGUCGCUCUGGAUAAGAGCGUCUGCUAAAUGACGUAAA
rfam:Salmo salar isolate Sally breed double haploid chromosome ssa23, whole genome shotgun sequence.